rnacentral:misc_RNA from 1 species
GAUGAAGAACGUAGCGAAAUGCGAUAAGUAAUGUGAAUUGCAGAAUUCAGUGAAUCAUCGAAUCUUUGAACGCACAUUGCGCCCCCUGGUAUUCCGGGGGGCAUGCCUGUCCGAGCGUCAUUGCUGCCCUCAAGCACGGCUUGUGUGUUGGGCCCCGUCCUCCGAUCCCGGGGGACGGGCCCGAAAGGCAGCGGCGGCACCGCGUCCGGUCCUCGAGCGUAUGGGGCUUUGUCACCCGCUCUGUAGGCCCGGCCGGCGCUUGCCGAUCAACCCAAAUUUUUUAUCCAGGUUGACCUCGGAUCAGGUAGGGAUACCCGCUGAACUUAAGCAUAUCAAUAAGCGGAGGA